AUAGCUGGUUCUCUCCGAAAUAGCUUUAGGGCUAGCCUCGCAAAGAGGAUGCUGGAGGUAGAGCUCUGUUUGGACUAGGGGCCCGUCAAGGGUUACUGAAUUCAGAUAAACUGCGAAUUCCAGACAUUUAUGUGCGGGAGUCAGACUGCGAGUGAUAAGAUCCGUAGUCGAAAGGGAAACAGCCCAGAUCACCAGUUAAGGUCCCAAAAUUCAUGCUAAGUGGAAAAGGAUGUGGAGUUGCGCAGACAACUAGGACGUUGGCUCAGAAGCAGCCAUCAUUCAAAGAGUGCGUAAUAGCUCACUAGUCGAGUGACGCCGCGCCGAAAAUUUACCGGGGCUAAGCAUGAUACCGAAACUGUGGAUGUGCGUUUAUGCACGUGGUAGGAGAGCGUUCUAGCGGCGGUGAAGCAUGACCGAGAGGACAUGUGGAGCUUCUAGAAGUGAGAAUGCCGGUAUGAGUAACGAAAGACAGGUGAGAAUCCUGUCCGCCGCAAGACUAAGGUUUCCUGGGGCAGGCUCGUCCGCCCAGGGUAAGUCGGGACCUAAGGCGAGGCCGAGAGGCGUAGUCGAUGGACAACAGGUUGAAAUUCCUGUACUGCACCGAAUCGUUAUGAGCGAUGGAGGGACGCAGGAGGCUAGCAGCGCGUGGUGCUGGAUACCACGUUCAAGCGUCAAGUCUGAGAGUGAGUCAAAUGCUUGCUCUCAUAAGGACAAGGCGUGAUGAGGAGCGAAAUUAAAGUAGCGAAGGCUGCGACGUCACACUGCCGAGAAAAGCUUCUAGCCAGAGACGGUGCACCCGUACCGCAAACCGACACAGGUAGUCGAGGAGAGUAUCCUCAGGUGAGCGAGAGAACUCUCGUUAAGGAACUCGGCAAAAUGGCCCCGUAACUUCGGGAGAAGGGGCGCUGGUCGCAAGAUCAGCCGCAGUGAAAAGGCCCAAGCAACUGUUUAUCAAAAACACAGGCAUCUGCAAAAUCGUAAGAUGAAGUAUAGGUGCUGACACCUGCCCGGUGCUGGAAGGUUAAGAGGAGAGCUUAGCGCAAGCGAAGGUUUGAAUUGAAGCCCCAGUAAACGGCGGCCGUAACUAUAACGGUCCUAAGGUAGCGAAAUUCCUUGUCGGGUAAGUUCCGACCUGCACGAAAGGUGUAAUGAUUUGGGCACUGUCUCAACGAGAGACUCGGUGAAAUUAUAAUACCCGUGAAGAUGCGGGUUACCCGCGACAGGACGGAAAGACCCCAUGGAGCUUUACUGCAGUUUAAUAUUGGGUAUCUGUCAAGCAUGUACAGGAUAGGUAGGAGCCGGAGAAGAUAGGACGCCAGUCUUAUCAGAGGCGCUGUUGGGAUACUACCCUUGCUUGACGGAUGCUCUAACUCAGGCCUGUGAUCCAGGCCGAGGACAGUGUUUGACGGGCAGUUUGACUGGGGCGGUCGCCUCCUAAAGUGUAACGGAGGCGCCCAAAGGUUCCCUCAGAAUGGUUGGAAAUCAUUCGCAGAGUGUAAAGGUAAAAGGGAGCUUGACUGCGAGAGAGACAACUCGAGCAGGUACGAAAGUAGGGCUUAGUGAUCUGGUGGUACCGUAUGGAAGGGCCAUCACUCAACGGAUAAAAGCUACCCUGGGGAUAACAGGCUUAUCUCCCCCAAGAGUUCACAUCGACGGGGAGGUUUGGCACCUCGAUGUCGGCUCGUCGCAUCCUGGGGCUGAAGUCGGUCCCAAGGGUUGGGCUGUUCGCCCAUUAAAGCGGCACGCGAGCUGGGUUCAGAACGUCGUGAGACAGUUCGGUCCCUAUCCGUCGUGGGCGUAGGAAAUUUGAGAGGAGCUGUCCUUAGUACGAGAGGACCGGGAUGGACGCACCGCUGGUGUACCAGUUGUCUUGCCAAAGGCAUCGCUGGGUAGCUAUGUGCGGACGGGAUAAGCGCUGAAAGCAUCUAAGUGCGAAGCCCCCCUCAAGAUGAGAUUUCCCAUUUCUUCAAGAAAGUAAGACACCUCAGAGACGAUGAGGUAGAUAGGCCGGGAGUGGAAGAGCCGUGAGGCUUGGAGCGGACCGGUACUAAUCAGUCGAGGACUUGACCAAAA
rnacentral:rRNA from 1 species